CCUACGGGAGGCAGCAGUGGGGAAUAUUGGACAAUGGGCGAAAGCCUGAUCCAGCCAUGCCGCGUGAGUGAUGAAGGCCUUAGGGUUGUAAAGCUCUUUCAGUAGGGAAGAUAAUGACGGUACCUACAGAAGAAGCCCCGGCUAACUUCGUGCCAGCAGCCGCGGUAAUACGAAGGGGGCUAGCGUUGUUCGGAAUUACUGGGCGUAAAGCGCACGUAGGCGGAUCGAUCAGUCAGGGGUGAAAUCCCAGAGCUCAACUCUGGAACUGCCUUUGAUACUGUCGAUCUAGAGUAUGGAAGAGGUGAGUGGAAUUCCGAGUGUAGAGGUGAAAUUCGUAGAUAUUCGGAAGAACACCAGUGGCGAAGGCGGCUCACUGGUCCAUUACUGACGCUGAGGUGCGAAAGCGUGGGGAGCAAACAGGAUUAGAAACCCCAGUAGUC
rnacentral:rRNA from 1 species